rnacentral:lncRNA from 1 species
ACUCUUUGAGUUGCUCAAAAUCACAUGGAAUUGAACCAGUAAGAUUGUUCCCUCGAAGACGCAAGUACUGGAGGUGCUUAAAUUUCCCCAUUAAGGAUGGGAGUUUUCCUUGCAAUCUACAGUCAAUGAGUUUGAGUGAUGACAGAGAAGAAGACAGAUUCAUCAAGGAAUCGGGAACAAGUAGUGACAUGUCUACCGAACUCAGAUCGAGUUCUCUAAGCUUGGUUAGGUUUCGAACAAGCUUGUCAAAGGAAAUUGGUUCUAGACUUAGAUAGCCGUUUCCAGAGAGAUCAAGUGAAACCAACUCAGUGAGUUGCUCAAAAUCAUAUGGAAUUGGACUAGUAAGAUUGUUCCCUCCAAGAUCCAAGUACUGGAGGUGCUUAAAUUUCCCCAUUGAGGAUGGGAGUUUUCCUUGCAAUCCACAUUCGAGGACUUCAAGUGAUGACAGAGAAGAAGACAGAUUCAUCAAGGAAUCAGGAACAACUAGUGACAUGUUUACCCAACUCAGAUGGAGUUCUCUAAGCUUGGUUAGGUUUCGAACAAGCUUGUCAAAACAAAGUGGUUCUAGACUUAGAUCGUAGUUCCAAGAGAGAUCAAGUGAAACCAUUUUGGAGAGGUGAGAGAUUUCUGACGGAACUUGGCCUGCAAGAUCUGAACCACUUA